AAAAGCCAGUCUACACUACCAGGCUCUGUCAAUUCCCAGGCCAACCAAAAGUAGGAAGAGCUGUUUUCUCCCUUGCAAGGGUUUGUCUGCUGGUGAUGAGGUGGAGAAAGUUUUCCACUGACGACAGAAGGAAUACUGGUCCAAGGUACAUAGGAGAACAAAAUUUUCUACCAGUCACCCAACAGAGAAGAGGGCUUUACAUUCAUCAUGAGUUUUACUGUUCUAGAAGACUUAGGAGGAAUAAAUGUGACUUGGAAUGCAAGGCUAUUUUCUCUGCCUGGAAGGUAGCUUGACUCUCCACUAUCAAAGGAAACAAUGUUACAGUCCACAAGGUAACCAGAAGCACAGAAGACCUCCAGGAAGCUACAGCAAAGCUGAUCACACCUCGUCUAUCUUUUGCUGCAUGGGCUGGGUCUCAUGCUUCUCAAUAUUUUAGAACUGGAAGUAUUACAAAGAGCAGAGUACAAGGAAUUUAGGAGCCAUUUGGCUCAGUGCCACACACCAUCUUGUUUGAGAGCUCCCUGAAGGUAAGACCACAUCUUAUUCUUCUCUACAAAAGCAGCACUUAUCAUGGAAUCUGGCAAUUAGCUGGUGUUCAAUAAAUGUUUAUGGAAUGACUGACGCAUUACAAUCAGGGCAGAGGGAUGUUCUUCAAUAUAGAGUGGCGGAAGGACUCCAGACAUGUCUUUUUCCAAGACGGUAAAUAAGAUCCUAUAUUUUUAAAUCCCUUGAUAAAUGGCCCUUGUUAUUGCCACCGAACAGUGAAUACCGCUAUAAUAUGCGUGACGAGCUGUCCUCCUGUUUGCUUCGUCGGCUGCUGUCUCAGCCCUGUCCCACAGUCAGCCUUUGAGUGGAGGGUUGGGUACGGUCACUGAAGACUGAAAGAGAGGUGGAGGGAAUGGCGGCUGUUCUACUUUGCCAGAGCCCAUGUCCCUUCCCUCCUCCCACCCCUUGUCAAACAAGAGGGCUGAUUACAGUGGCCCCUUCUCCUGGCCAGAAGGAUUUGUCCAGGGGAACAUGUGUCUCAAGCUGGGCACAUGCUCAGAGGCCUUCCCUGGAAACACAUUCCCUCGAACUGGGGGAAAACAUGUCUCUUUUGUCUCUAUUUGAAGGUUAAGAGGAUGUACGGUGAGAAGUGUCCAUGGUCAGAGUUCCAGCUUCAUGGGGACAACAGCCUCAGAAAAAGGAGCCAACUUUCGGGAGCAAGACAGAGGGAGAAGAGGGGUAAAAGACAGGGAUGGGGAGAAAGAAAGAAGGAAAGGGAGAAGAGGUUAAAAAAAGAGAGAGAAAAGCUGAGAUCGGACAGCAUGUGAGGCUCUGGGUCCAGGUCGGGAGCACCCUUCCUUUUCCGUUUGGUUUUAUGAAAAAAUUAACACCCUUUUUAUGCUUAGGGUAGUUUGGGUUAACUUUUCAUCCAUGCAACUGAAGAGUCCUAACUAAAAGGUGAAAAACAGGGGUUACAUCAGUUCUUCUCCAACCUUCCCGUGCAUGGGAGUCUGCCCGGAUCUCGUGACAGUGCAGACUCUAAGUCAGGAGACCGGAAUGGACCUGAGACUCUGCAUUGCAACAAGCUGCCAGAUGAAGCUGUCGCUGCCGCUCCCCAAACCCACUCAGGUUACAGUGACUCCCAGGGACAUAAGAGAACUGCCUCACAAAGGCUUUUCCCAUCCGUCUGUCCUCCUGCUUUCCCUCCCUCCCUCAGCAUCUGUGGGCUCCUUUGGUCCUUGGACCACCUCGCAUGCCCAGCCCUUCUCUGCUGUGCUCAGUCACCCGGUGUCGCCCCAGUCACUCAUGACACAUGCGUCCUAGCACUCAGCCGAAACUGUAACCAGGACACCUUGGCUAGCUGGGCCCAUUUCCCUGCGAAGGCACUUUAGUGAGCACAUCUAAGUAUUGUUUGUGGUCUCACUCCCAUCCCAAGGGACUUAUUAAAGUCCUUCUUCCGAACAUAAACAGAAGUCUCCUGGAGAGGCACCCUAGGAAAUACAGUAUCUACCACCUCGUGACAUCCCCCCUGCCCUCCAAAGAACAGGCAGAACAGGCUUGUGGGAACAGUUGUGGAGACCCCUAAAAAUGAAGUUUGCUGGUCGAUGGCUGGUCUUGGAAACCAUCUCAUUCAAAACCACAGCUGUUGACAGAUGGUGUGCUUGCUAUGCGUAAAGUGCUUGGGUCAGUAGGCUCUCUGAACUUGCAGAAGUUCAGGGAAUCUCGUCCUUGUUAUGCCUUCCAGCUGCUAGGACUGCUUUCUGAGAACACUCACAUCUCUCCCUAAGUUUUCCAGCUUCCUAGCUGUGAUGGUUUAUAUAGAGGUUCUGGGAGAAGUGGUUUGGGAAAUCUUAGCAGAAAGUUUAGGAUAAAGGAAUAAAAUUUUUCUUAAAAAAAAAAAAACAAUGCAUGUGUUAGAAUGAUGUAUGACUCACCCACUGAACCAUGGUGUUUCCUAAAGUCCAUGCAAGAGUAGGUCAUGCUCUACCAUCUUCUGCACCUAGAAUUAUUUCUUUCCACGUCCUCCAACCUUCCCCCUAGCCAACUCUCAUUCCUCUUUUCCCACCAAAAUGGGGGGCUUAGCUCCCUUAGUGAUACUGGUGGGGGGGCAGCUUCAUGGCAAUAUUCACCCUGUUCCCCAUUCUGAACUGAGUUGGAAGCCAAAGAACCUGUCAGACAAGAGAAUUUCCCCGAGGAAAGAACAAAUUCCCCCUGUGAGGACUUCAGGGUAGCAGCUAACAGGCUCUUGUCCGCUGCUGAGAGCCAGGUGGUUUUCCUCUGCCUUUGUUUUUGGUCAGUGCCCUUCCUCCUCCUCCUCCCCCACCUCCCCCUCACUUGGCUUCAGUAGCUCUGCCCACUCUUACUUCCCUCUCCGGCCCAUUUACCCACAUGUGUGUGUGCUUGCGGUGGUAAUGUUCUCAUCUGGACAUGUUCGCCACACUUUAAACAUACUAGGAGACAAAGGCAUGAGCACAUUCAAGAAAUACCUAAGUUCCUAAGUCACCUUUCAAGUUUUCCUCCUGAUCUCUUUCAAACUUCCAUUUCUCCUUCAUUGCGUUUUCAACAUCUUCUCUUGUUACAACUGGUAACCCAUCUGACUUCUCUUCACUCAGCUCCUUUAGUAGGUUCCGUAUGUGCCAAGUCUGUUCGUCCUUCAAGUGUUUGUUCUGCCAUGAAAAUCAACAGUGGGUAACUACAUCUGCUUGAGUAUUUACAUUGACUUGCCUCAAAACAGAGUCACAUGCUGAGGCUUACAAAGUGAGAAUAAGACAUCUAAUGAAAUAAAUUUAUACAAUAUUUCUAAGAGCUUCUGGAACAUGGAAGGUGCAAAGUAAAAUUAAACCCAUCAACACAGCAACUAUUGAAUAGAAGGUUACAUUUAAAAAAUUAUGUUAUUGGGGCACCUGGGUCACUCAGCGGUUAAGUGUCUGCCUUCUGCUCAGGUGGUGAUCCUAGCAUCCUG